rnacentral:lncRNA from 1 species
UAUUCAUGAAAAUAUUAGUCAUGUCCUCCUUCACGCUACCAAUGGCUGACAUUGGGAAAUGAUGGAUACUGAAGACCCCACAAAGUGUUGAUGACAACAACAGUGAUUUCAUGCUGCUGGAGGUUGUAUGCCUGGCAUAAUGUGAAAGAGGAAUCACAGAGCUGGAGAACUACAGAAACUUCUGGAAUUGUAUCAAAGGAAGUAUGCUAAAUAGGGGCUGUGACGAGGACACAGAGAAGACUGCUAGAUUAGGCAAAACUCAGCACACGUGGCUUCUUCCUCACACCCCCACAGAAAAGAAGGCCCGGUGCCUUUCUAGGAAAUAA